AGUUUGAUCCUGGCUCAGGAUGAACGCUAGCGGCAGGCCUCAUACAUGCAAGUCGAGGGGCAGCGGGACACUUCGGUGUUGCCGGCGACCGGCGGACGGGUGCGUAAUGCGCAUGCAAUCUACUUUACACUGGGGAAUAGCCUCCGGAAACGGGAAUUAAUACCCCAUAUAAUCUUAUUAGCGCAUGUUAAAAAGAUGAAAGCUCCGGCGGUGUAAAAAUGAGCGUGCGUCCUAUUAGCUAGUUGGUGAGGUAAUGGCUCACCAAGGCUACGAUGGGUAGGGGUUCUUAGUGGAAGGUCCCCCACACUGGCACUGAGAUCCGGGCCAGACUCCUACGGGAGGCAGCAGUAGGGAAUAUUGGUCAAUGGGCGCAAGCCUGAACCAGCCAUGCCGCGUGCAGGAUGAAGGCUCUCUGAGUUGUAAACUGCUUUUGUACAGGAGCAAAAAAAUCCCUGCGGGGGUUCUUGAGAGUACUGUAAGAAUAAGCACCGGCUAAUUCCGUGCCAGCAGCCGCGGUAAUACGGGAGGUGCAAGCGUUAUCCGGUUUUAUUGGGUUUAAAGGGCGCGUAGGCGGCUUAUUAAGUCAGUUGUGAAAUCCUAGUGCUUAACGCUAGAACUGCGAUGAUACUAUUAGGCUUGAGUUAAGAAGAGGUAA
rnacentral:rRNA from 1 species